AACGAACGCUGGCGGCAUGCCUAACACAUGCAAGUCGAACGAGACCUUCGGGUCUAGUGGCGCACGGGUGCGUAACGCGUGGGAACCUGCACUUAGGUUCGGAAUAACUCCCCGAAAGGGGUGCUAAUACCGGAUAAUGUCUUCGGACCAAAGAUUUAUCGCCUUUGGAUGGGCCCGCGUUGGAUUAGCUAGUUGGUAGGGUAAAAGCCUACCAAGGCGACGAUCCAUAGCUGGUCUGAGAGGAUGAUCAGCCACACUGGGACUGAGACACGGCCCAGACUCCUACGGGAGGCAGCAGUGGGGAAUAGUGGACAAUGGGCGAAAGCCUGAUCCAGCAAUGCCGGGUGAGUGAUGAAGGCCUUAGGGUUGUAAAGCUCUUUUACCCGGGAUGAUAAUGACAGUACCGGGAGAAUAAGCUCCGGCUAACUCCGUG
rnacentral:rRNA from 1 species